rnacentral:rRNA from 1 species
GAUCAUUGUCGAAACCUGCCCUGCAGAACGACCCGCGAACACGUUUACAACAUCAACGGGGGAGCGGGGGGGCUUUUGCUCCCCCCAUCCACCGAUGCUCAUGGGACGGAUGGCGGGCUUCGCCCAAACCAUCCCCUCAGAGGCAGAAUAACCAACCCCGGCGCAGGUAGCGCCAAGGAAUAUGAAAUGAAAAGAGCACGCUGCCACAGUCCCUGGAAACGGUGAGACUUGGGCAUGCGUCGUACUCUUUUAAAAAUCAAAACGACUCUCGGCAACGGAUAUCUCGGCUCUCGCAUCGAUGAAGAACGCAGCAAAAUGCGAUACUUGGUGUGAAUUGCAGAAUCCCGUGAAUCAUCGAGUUUUUGAACGCAAGUUGCGCCCGAAGCCCUCGGGCCAAGGGCACGUCUGCCUGGGUGUCACGCAACCAUUGCUCCCAACCCUCUUGAAACAUCAAGGGGCAAGGGGGCGGAUGUUGGCCUCCCGUGCGCCGCGAGGCAUGCGGUUGGCCCAAAAGCAGAGUUCCCGGCUACGGUCGCCACGAAAUUCGGUGGUUGUAAGACCCUCUGACACAGUCGUGAACGAUCGUAUGCCAUAAGGGACCCCCGAGACCCUGAUGCAGGCCUUGAAGGCGUGCUCCAAUCGCGACCCCAGGUCAGGCGGGAUUACCCGCUGAGUUUA